rnacentral:rRNA from 1 species
GUCCUUUUGUUAAUAAUAUAAGGUCUAACCUGCCCACUGAAAUUUUAAAUGGCCGUGGUAUUUUGACCGUGCUAAGGUAGCAUAAUCAUUAGUUUUUUAAUUAAAAACUGGAAUGAAAGGUUGGAUAAGAAAAUGACUGUCUCUGUUAAAUUUAAUUAGAAUUUUAUUUUUAAGUUAAAAAGCUUAAAUAAGUUUAAAAGACGAGAAGACCCUAUAGAGUUUAAUUAUUAAAUAAAAAUUAUAUUUUAGUAUUAUUUUAUUUAAUUUAUUUAAUAAUUUAAUUGGGGUGAUUGAAAAAUUUAAUUAACUUUUUUUAUUUAAGUCCAUUAAUUUAUGAGUAAAUGAYCCAAUAUUUUUGAUUAUAAGAUAAAAUUACCUUAGGGAUAACAGCGUAAUUUUUUUAGAAAGUUCAUAUUUAAAAAAAAGAUUGCGACCUCGAUGUUGGAUUAAAAUAAAUUUUUGGUGUAGAAGCUAAAAUAUUAGGUCUGUUCGACCUUUAAAAUUUUAC